rnacentral:rRNA from 1 species
AGAUUGAACGCUGGCGGCAGGCCUAACACAUGCAAGUCGAGCGGUAACAGGGGUAGCUUGCUACCCGCUGACGAGCGGCGGACGGGUGAGUAACGCGUAGGAAUCUACCCGGUAGUUGGGGAUAGCCCGGAGAAAUCCGGAUUAAUACCGAAUAAUCUCUACGGAGGAAAGGGGGCUUCGGCUCUCGCUACUGGAUGAGCCUGCGUCGGAUUAGCUAGUUGGUGGGGUAAAGCCUACCUAGGCGACGAUCCGUAGCUGGUCUGAGAGGAUGAUCAGCCACACUGGGACUGAGACACGGCCCAGACUCCUACGGGAGGCAGCAGUGGGGAAUAUUGGACAAUGGGGGCAACCCUGAUCCAGCCAUGCCGCGUGUGUGAAGAAGGCCUUCGGUUGUAAAGCACUUCAGUGGGUAGGAAGGGUGGAUGGUAAUACCGUCAUCAUUGACGUCACCACAGAGAAGCACGCUACUCCGUGCCAGCAGCCGC